rnacentral:rRNA from 1 species
UACAGAGGGGGCAAGCGUUGCUCGGAAUCACUGGGCGUAAAGCGCACGUAGGCGGCUUUCUAAGUCAGGGGUGAAAUCCUGGAGCUCAACUCCAGAACUGCCUUUGAUACUGGAAGGCUUGAGUCCGGGAGAGGUGAGUGGAACUGCGAGUGUAGAGGUGAAAUUCGUAGAUAUUCGCAAGAACACCAGUGGCGAAGGCGGCUCACUGGCCCGGUACUGACGCUGAGGUGCGAAAGCGUGGGGAGCAAACAGG